rnacentral:rRNA from 1 species
GGAGUUAGCCGGUGCUUCUUCUGUGAGUGAUGUCCUUCCUGCCGGCUAUUAACCCGCAGGCCUUCUUCCUCACUGAAAGUGCUUUACAACCCGAAGGCCUUCUUCACACACGCGGCAUGGCUGGAUCAGGGUUGCCCCCAUUGUCCAAUAUUCCCCACUGCUGCCUCCCGUAGGAGUCUGGGCCGUGUCUCAGUCCCAGUGUGGCUGAUCAUCCUCUCAGACCAGCUACGGAUCGUCGCCUUGGUGAGCCGUUACCUCACCAACCAGCUAAUCCGACAUAGGCUCAUCCGAUAGCGCGAGGCCCGAAGGUCCCCCGCUUUCCCCCGUAGGGCGUAUGCGGUAUUAGCCUGGGUUUCCCCAGGUUAUCCCCCACUACCGGGCAGAUUCCUAUGCAUUACUCACCCGUCCGCCGCUCGCCACCAGGGAGCAAGCUCCCCGUGCUGCCGCUCGACUUGCAUGUGUUAGGCCUGCCGCCAGCGUUCAAUCUGAACCAGAUCAAAUUCUAGA